UUUGCCCAUAUUCCUACGGGAAGCAGCAGUGAGGAAUUUUUCACAAUGGACGAAAGUCUGAUGGAGCAAUACCAUGUGAACGAUGAAGGUCUUCUGAUUGUAAAGUUCUUUUAUUUAGGAAAAAAAGCUUGAUAGGAAAUGAUUAAGCCUUGAUUGUACUAAAUGAAUAAGUGACAGCUAACUAUGUGCCAGCAGCUGCGGUAAAACAUAGGUCACGAGCAUUAUCCGGAUUUAUUGGGCGUAAAGGAAGCGUAGGCGGACAAAUUGAUCUAUUGUUAAAGGCACUUGCUCAACGAGUUGUUUGUGAUAGAUAUCGUUUGUCUAGAAUUAGUUAGGAGAUACUGGAAUUCAAUGUGUAGCGGUGGAAUGCGUAGAUAUAUUGAGGAACACCAGAGGCUAAGGCGAGUAUCUAGGACAUAAUUGACGCUGAGGCUUGAAAGCGUGGGGAGCAAAUGGGAUUAGAUACCCCAGUAGUCCACGCCGUAAACGAUGGGUAUUAGGUAUUUGGUCUAGGACUGAGUGCUGUAGCUAACGCGUUAAAUACCCCGCCUGGGUAGUAUAUAUGCAAAUAUAAAUCAAAAAAG
rnacentral:rRNA from 1 species